rnacentral:rRNA from 1 species
UACGUAGGGUGCGAGCGUUAAUCGGAAUUACUGGGCGUAAAGCGUGCGCAGGCGGUUCGUUGUGUCGGCGGUGAAAGCCCCGGGCUUAACCUGGGAAUGGCCGUCGAAACUGGCGAACUGGAGUGUGGCAGAGGGGGGUGGAAUUCCGCGUGUAGCAGUGAAAUGCGUAGAGAUGCGGAGGAACACCAAUGGCGAAGGCAGCCCCCUGGGCUAACACUGACGCUCAGGCACGAAAGCGUGGGGAGCAAACAGG